UGAAAGGUUAAUUUUAUAAAUUAUAAUAAAGUAUUAGAUAUUAAAAUUUAUAUAUAGUAAUGUUUAUUAAAAUUUUUUAAAAACCAUAUAUUAAUUUACUGAGAAGGAGUUGUUGAAAUAGUUAUUUUUUUUAUUUAUUGAAAAGAAGUAUUAAAUUAUUUACCUUUUGUAUUAUGGAUGACUGAAAAAUUUAAAAUUGUUAUAUUUUAUUAACGAAAUAAAGUGAGCUACUAUAUUCUCUAUAUUUGAUAGUAUUUCUUACUGUAGAAAAAGUUAAGGAAAGAGAAUAUAGUUGAAGUGAUACUCUUAACGAACUUUAUUAUAGCUUUUUCUUAAGGAAAUAAGUAUUAGCUUUCUUAAAUAGAAAAUUUAAUUAAAGACAACUGGUUGAUCAGUUGUCUUUUAAAAAGAAAAAUUUGUUAAUUUAAGUAUAAUCAAUAAAAAUAAAAAUUUUACUGUUUGUUAAAAAGUAGGUUUUAAGUAAUUUUCUUUCUGAGUGUGUUUGAAUUUUUUAAUAAAAUUAAUUUUGUAAAAAUAUUUGAAUAGAGAUUUAAUUUAUCUUGUUAAAAUUACUUAAGUUAUCUUUUAAGAGAUGAAAUAAUGGUUAUAUUAGUAAAAUUUUAUUCAGUUUUUAAAUUAAAAUUAAAACAAAGAAAAAAUUUAAUUAGUCUUUGUUAAAUAAUAUACUUAUUUUAGUGAAUAUUAAUUUUUAAAAUAAUAGGAAAAGGAACUCGGCAAAAUUUUUUUCUCGCCUGUUUACCUAAAACAUCGCCUUUGGAAAAUUAUCAAAAGGUCCUGCCUGCCCAGUGAUUGAAAAAUUAAACGGCUGCGGUACUCUGACCGUGCAAAGGUAGCAUAAUCAUUAGCCUAUUAAUUUUAGGCUGGAAUGAAUGGCAAGACGAAGGAAAAGCUGUCUCUUUCUAUUAAUUUUUAACUUUUCUUUUUGGUGAAGAGACCAAAAUAUAAAAGUGGGACGAGAAGACCCUAUUGAGUUUUAGUUAUUGAUUAGGAAAAAAUUUUUUUUAAUAACUUUGGUUGGGGCAACUGUUUAUAAAAUUAAACAUAAAAAAAAUAAAAAUUGAUUUAAAUCUUUAAUAUAUGUAAGACCUAGAAUUUUUCUAGAAUUAAAAAUAAUUACCAUAGGGAUAACAGCGUAAUUUCUUUUGAGAGUACAUAUUGACAAAGGAGUUUGCGACCUCGAUGUUGGAUCAAGUUUUCCUGGAGGUGUAGCAGUUUCCAAGGGUUGGUUUGUUCAACCAUAAAAAUCUUACGUGAUCUGAGUUCAGUCCGUCGUGAGACAGGACAGUUUUUAUCUACUUAAUUUCUUCUUUCUUGUACGAAAGGACUUUAAGGAGAAAAAUAAAUUUUAUAAAAUAUUUUUUGUUAAAAUUAUGAAUAAAAUAAUAUUAAUACGAUAUAAUAACU
rnacentral:rRNA from 1 species